UGGGGAAUCUUGCGCAAUGGCCUAACGGCUGACGCAGCGACGCCGCGUGAGGGAUGACGCUCUUCGGAGUGUAAACCUCUUUUGCCUGAGACGAAUUGCCAGCUUUAGCUGGUUUGACUGUAUCGGGUGAAUAAGCACCGGCUAACUCCGUGCCAGCAGCCGCGGUAAUACGGGGGGUGCGAGCGUUGUCCGGAAUCACUGGGCGUAAAGGGCGCGUAGGUGGCCUGAUAAGGGUGUGGUGAAAGUCCGGGGCUCAACCCCGGAUCGGCCGUGCCGACUGUUGGGCUAGAGUACUGUAGGGGCAGGCGGAAUUCCGGGUGUAGCGGUGGAAUGCGUAGAGAUCCGGAGGAAGACCGGUGGCGAAGGCGGCCUGCUGGGCAGUUACUGACACUGAGGCGCGACAGCGUGGGGAGCAAACAG
rnacentral:rRNA from 1 species